AGGGGAGGGGCGUAGAGGGCCGGUGGAAAUGCGGGCUCCUCUAGCUCGCUCGCGGGCUCGCGCGGGCAGGAGCGUCGGAGGAGGGUACUAAGGGGCGUGGGCUCGGGGUGCUCUCCUCGAGGAGGGCACCAAAAUGUUCGGCGGCGGCCGCUGGUGGUCGGUGUCGAACGGCCUCACGCUGCCGCGGCGGCAACGCUCGUGAAAUGGGACAGAGUACACCAGCGGGCGUAGUGAAGGGGAACGAUCCCAAAGACGAGCCCGGCACCGGAUCUACUUGCCGGAGCCGUCAACACCACCGCGCACACUCUAGGGGGAGGGGCUGUUCCGACGUUGACCUAGGGGAGGAGAGCUGGCGACCUAGGCGACCUAGGCGAGGAGAGGAUGUACCGGCGGUAGCCUAGGGGAGGAGAGGCUGUCGUUGCGGAUACCAAGGUCGCGUUCCAGCUGUUCCAGUGGGAGAAGCAGUUCCAGCUGCUCCGGUGAGAGAAGCUGGAGUAGGACCAUCAUAAACGGUUUCCAACAACAACGGCACCUCCAGUUGCCAGCAGUGUUCGGAUGUUCUCUUAUAUAACUGUCUCUCAAAUUACCACAUUUUGGUGGGUUAUUAAAGCCGCUUCAACUAGUGACCUGGCGCACCCGCAUGUCUGGUGCCUGGUAGAGCAACGAAGACUACCCUUGGACGAAAAAUUACCCACAGAAACGCUACUAACGAUAAAAGAACCGAAUAAGAAAAGAAGUUCGUGGAAGUUGCACUCAACAUCUUCGAUACAUGGAAUAAAAAAAUUAAGAAUAAAACAUACUUGCCCGUACAUCUAUACUUAUUCAUAUAACACGUGACGGUAACUCGUCUUCCCCUCACAUAAAUACACACGAAAUACAAACUAGACUCGAAGAGUUAUAGAAGCUCGAAAACUUCAUACUAGACAUCAUGGUUGGUAAGUUUUUUUUUAACAUCAACGUGAUUGAUCCUGUCGUUUCGGAAUGAAGUAAUGACGAGGCACAUAUUUAUUUUUUGUAAAGGACAAAACAUCAACGUGAUUGGUCCUGUCGUCCCGACCUCUACGAUACAAUAUUAAUUAGUAGUCAAUGAUUUUAAAUCGAAGACGAACGAUGACCACGUUAGAUAAAGGAUAAAAACAGAUGAUUAGUGGUAAAUGAUCUUAAAUGUAAGACGGACUAUAACGAACCAAUAACUGCGGUGAUCAAACAUGACUUUGCACCUCUGAAAUGUGAAACGUUCUAGUAAGCCACCACCACUGGGUAUACUACCGCUAAACGAGGCCGGUAAGGUCAAGACCGCCACCACCACGACGACUAGGAUGCUACCAUCUGAGCAGACGGAGGCGAUCGGCGGAGGCACCACUACUUCGAGCCAGAUCCGAUGUUGGGGAGGCCUCUCGAGGAGUGCAGGGGAAGAUGGGGAGAAUGAACGAGGAACCAAGAUACGAGGCGGAAACACUGCACAUUAACAAGUUAAAACAAGUAUCAGCUCGUAACCUACUAUAACAUAAACAGUACU
rnacentral:rRNA from 1 species